rnacentral:rRNA from 1 species
UACUUGGAUAACUGUGGCAAUUCUAGAGCUAAUACACGCAGACGGGGUGCAUUUAUUAGAACAAAACCAAUUUUGGUGAAUCUGAAUAACCCACGGUCUUUGCACCGGCGACGCAUCUUUCAAGUGUCUGCCUUAUCAACUUUCGAUGGUAGUUUAUGUGACUACCAUGGUUAUAACGGGUAACGGAGAAUAAGGGUUCGACUCCGGAGAGGGAGCCUGAGAAACGGCUACCACAUCCAAGGAAGGCAGCAGGCGCGCAAAUUACCCACUCUCAGCGAGGAGGUAGUGACGAAAAAUAACGAGGCGGUUCUCAUUGCUAUCGGAAUGAGAACAAUCCAAAUCCUUUAACGAGGAUCUAGCGGAGGGCAAGUCUGGUGCCAGCAGCCGCGGUAAUUCCAGCUCCGCCAGUGUAUAUCUAUGCUGCUGCGGUUAAAAAGCUCGUAGUUGGAUCUGCCUAGGAACYGGUCCGUCCACUGGGCGUGCGCUGGUUUUCCCUUGAUGCUCUUAACCGGGUGUCUUGGGUGGCUAGCACGUUUACUUUGAAAAAAUUAGAGUGCUCAAAACAGGCGCAAGCUUGAAUACUAGUGCAUGGAAUAAUAGAAUAGGAGGUUCUGUUUUGUUGGUUUUCGGAACACGAAGUAAUGAUUAAGAGGGACAGACGGGGGCAUUCGUAUUGCGACGUUAGAGGUGAAAUUCUUGGA